GACGGAGGAGGCUAGCGUUAUUCGGAUUCACUGGGCGUAAAGGGUGCGCAGGCGGUUGGGUGUGUCAGAUGUGAAAUCCCGAGGCUCAACCUCGGAACUGCGUCUGAAACUACUCGACUAGAGUAUUGGAGAGGGUAACGGAAUUCACGGUGUAGCAGUGAAAUGCGUAGAUAUCGUGAGGAACACCAGAGGCGAAGGCGGUUACCUGGACAAUUACUGACGCUCAGGCACGAAAGCAUGGGGAGCAAAAGGGAUUAGAAACCCUAGUAGU
rnacentral:rRNA from 1 species